rnacentral:rRNA from 1 species
UACGAAGGGGGGCUAGCGUUGCUCGGAAUCACUGGGCGUAAAGGGCGCGUAGGCGGCGUUUUUAAGUCGGGGGUGAAAGCCUGUGGCUCAACCACAGAAUGGCCUUCGAUACUGGGACGCUUGAGUAUGGUAGAGGUUGGUGGAACUGCGAGUGUAGAGGUGAAAUUCGUAGAUAUUCGCAAGAACACCGGUGGCGAAGGCGGCCAACUGGACCAUUACUGACGCUGAGGCGCGAAAGCUAGGGUAGCAAACGGG